GAUGAAGAACGUAGCGAAAUGCGAUAAGUAAUGUGAAUUGCAGAAUUCAGUGGAUCAUCGAAUCUUUGAACGCACCUUGCACCCUUUGGCAUUCCGAAGGGUAUGCUCGUUUGAGUGUCAUUGUACUCUCACACUCUCCGAUCCUAUGGAUUCGGGGAGCGGUGGACUUGGGUGUUGCUGCCUUUCCUUGUGGCUCACCUCAAAUGUGUCAGUGCACCUCUUGGUUGGACAUAGUACGGCGUGAUAAGUGUCUUCGCCGGCACCUCGCAAGAGGGUGGCCGAUCGGGAGCUCUGUGCUUUCAAACCGUCUUCGGACAAUUUCUGACAACUUGACCUCAAAUCGAGUAGGACUACCCGCUGAACUUAAGCAUAUCAAUAAGCGGAGGA
rnacentral:misc_RNA from 1 species